rnacentral:rRNA from 1 species
CCUACGGGUGGCAGCAGUGAGGAAUAUUGGUCAAUGGGCGCGAGCCUGAACCAGCCAAGUCGCGUGAAGGAUGACUGCCCUACGGGUUGUAAACUUCUUUUAUAAAGGAAUAAAGUGAGGCACGUGUGCCUUUUUGUAUGUAUUUUAUGAAUAAGCAUCGGCUAACUCCGUGCCAGCAGCCGCGGUAAUACGGAGGAUCCGAGCGUUAUCCGGAUUUAUUGGGUUUAAAGGGAGCGUAGAUGGGUUGUUAAGUCAGUGGUGAAAGUUUGCGGCUCAACCGUAAAAUUGCAAUUGAUACUGGAAGACUGGAGUACAGUAGAGGUAGGCGGAAUUCGUGGUGUAGCGGUGAAAUGCUUAGAGAUCACGAAGAACUCCGAUUGCGAAGGCAGCUUACCGGACUGCAACUGACACUGAGGCUCGAAAGUGUGGGUAGCAAACAGGAUUAGAUACCCGUGUAGUC